AUGUACCACUCGUACACUCCGGUUCCUGUGCGCCGCCCGCACCCGCCUGACGACUGCUCGCCGAUGUCGCAUGUGAGCG
rnacentral:sRNA from 1 species